rnacentral:lncRNA from 1 species
GGUGAGGGUGUCUUGCUGGAGAUCCCUCUCUCUCUCUGAGGCCUUCUGAAGGUAGAGAUUCUCAUCUCCUUUUCACGCCGUGGAUGGAUUAUACCCUGAAAUAGCUCCUCUUCCAUGUGAUGUUGUGCUGUGUGAAGCAGGUAACUUCAUUUUCCUACGCCUUUGGGCAUUCCAGCAAUGCUGCGCCGAGUCCAACGCACACAGAGAUGGAAUUACGGUGCUGGAUGUGGCUGAGGUUGCUCUGCUGUGCUGCUUAAGGGAGGAGAAGCCCUUCAGCCGUGCUCCUUGUGAUGCAGCAUCGAGGCCAUGUGAGAACUACCCAGACCUUCCAGCUGACAGGUGAGGACUGAAGUAGUUGCAUCCAUCCAGCAUAGGUGCGACACGAGCUGCCACAAAGCUGAUCUGCUUUGCUCGGGGUGGUGCUGUGCCCUGCCUGCUGGCUAGCCAGGACCUCUCGGUGUCCUGCGGUGGAAUGAAUGAUACAUCACGCUCCUCUGGGCUUCCAAGGGCUUCGUGCAAAGCUGCUGCCGAUCUGAGGGAAGGCUCCCAGUUCACACGCUGCACUUCAGGUUAGAGAUUGCCUUAACGUGGUGUUCUCAGCACGGGUUAGAGACGCCCAUGGAGGCAAUGAAGCCACCAGAGGGCUCGGUGUCGUCACGCAGGCUGCCUGGCCCCCUACUCAGCGCAAUGCAAACCCUUCCUAAGGGACCGAGAGCGCUUCCUCUGCGUCUCCCUUCCUCCGAGGGACAAUACCGGGCAUGGCAGGAAAAGGAAGUCCGCGUGGUUCCCAUUGCACGACGGGUUGCUUGCAAGCAAAGAACAGGGGGAGGCUCUGGCACUUCCAAGGACCCUCUCGCAGCUGGAGCCGCACAGAAGCGGGGCUGCACGAUGUGGGGCGUUAUGCGACCCCAGUGGGCUUCUGCCUGCUGCUGGCCCUGCGUUUCGACGGCACCCCAACGAAUGCGGUUUGACGGGCUGCGAUGCGCCAGAAGGGAAUGAGGAAAGGGACCAACGAGCAGUACUGGGGGUUUUCGCCACUCGGAAGCCGACGGCCAAAACAACUCUGGUUGCAGACAGCCCCACUGUCACCGUCACCACGGCCCUUCAGGGCGUACACAUCCCCCCCCUCACCUGCCCGCCCGCCCGCGGCCCCACACAAAAGCCGCCCGCUGCCGCCCCUCCCCUAUUCAAUCAGCGGAAGGGGGCGGGGCUAAGCGGGCGCUUACCUCUAGCGAUUGACAGGGGGAGGGAGGCGGGGGCAGCGCGCCGGCAGCCAAUCACCAGCCGCGAGUAGCCGGCCGGGCCAAUGGGCAGGCCGGUGGGCGGGGCCUCGCCGCGGGGUCAGGCCGGGAGUGGAGGCGCUCGGUCGCUCCUUCUUUUCUCUCUCUCUCCCCCCCUCCCCGCUCCGUGCCGGCUGGGACGCCUCACCGCGGGAUCCCUCCGCCGCGGGCUGGUUGUGGCGUGCGCGCGUCGUCCGCCUCCGCGCUGCCUUCAACGAGGGAUUCUUUCCCCGCGGUUGCGUGCGCCGGGGCGGCACCGGAGGAGGCCCUGCGCUCCGGGACGGGAACGGACGGAGGAUGGAGCGGCUGAGGGAAGGAACCGCCCCGUGAGGGAGCGCCGAGGCCUGCUCGGGGCCUGCCGGG